ACAUUCUGCUUAAACCAUUUCUU
rnacentral:tRNA from 1 species